AGCUUGCUACCGAUCUUAGCGGCGGACGGGUGAGUAAUGCUUAGGAAUCUGCCUAUUAGUGGGGGACAACAUUUCGAAAGGAAUGCUAAUACCGCAUACGUCCUACGGGAGAAAGCAGGGGAUCUUCGGACCUUGCGCUAAUAGAUGAGCCUAAGUCGGAUUAGCUAGUUGGUGGGGUAAAGGCCUACCAAGGCGACGAUCUGUAGCGGGUCUGAGAGGAUGAUCCGCCACACUGGGACUGAGACACGGCCCAGACUCCUACGGGAGGCAGCAGUGGGGAAUAUUGGACAAUGGGCGCAAGCCUGAUCCAGCCAUGCCGCGUGUGUGAAGAAGGCCUUAUGGUUGUAAAGCACUUUAAGCGAGGAGGAGGCUACUUUAGUUAAUACCUAGAGAUAGUGGACGUUACUCGCAGAAUAAGCACCGGCUAACUCUGUGCCAGCAGCCGCGGUAAUACAGAGGGUGCAAGCGUUAAUCGGAUUUACUGGGCGUAAAGCGCGCGUAGGCGGCUAAUUAAGUCAAAUGUGAAAUCCCCGAGCUUAACUUGGGAAUUGCAUUCGAUACUGGUUAGCUAGAGUGUGGGAGAGGAUGGUAGAAUUCCAGGUGUAGCGGUGAAAUGCGUAGAGAUCUGGAGGAAUACCGAUGGCGAARGCAGCCAUCUGGCCUAACACUNACGCUGAGG
rnacentral:rRNA from 1 species